AAGGUGGGGACGACGUCAAAGUCAUCAUGGCCCUUAUGUCUAGGGCUACACACGUGCUACAAUGGUUUAUACAGAGGGCAGCUAACUCGUGAGAGUAUGCGAAUCCCUUAAAAGUAAUCCUCAGUUCGGAUUGUAGUCUGCAACUCGACUACAUGAAGUUGGAAUCGCUAGUAAUCGCAGGUCAGCAAAACUGCGGUGAAUACGUUCCCGGGCCUU
rnacentral:rRNA from 1 species